AGAAUCAACGCUGGCGGCGUGCCUAACACAUGCAAGUCGAACGCGAAAGUCCCGCAAGGGAUAAGUAGAGUGGCAAACGGGUGAGUAACACGUGGGUGACCUGCCUUCGAGUGGGGGAUAACGUCCCGAAAGGGACGCUAAUACCGCAUAACAUCCUGCCUUUGAAGAGGUGGAGAUCAAAGCUGGGGAUCGCAAGACCUAGCGCUGGAAGAGGGGCCCGCGCCUGAUUAGCUAGUUGGUGGGGUAAUGGCUCACCAAGGCAACGAUCAGUA
rnacentral:rRNA from 1 species